rnacentral:tRNA from 2 species
GGCGAGAUAGCUCAGUUGGUUAGAGCGUCGGAUUCAUAACCCGGAGGUCGGGGGUUCAAAUCCCCCUCUCGCUA